GAUGAACGCUGGCGGCGUGCCUAAUACAUGCAAGUCGAGCGAACAGACGAGGAGCUUGCCCCUCUGACGUUAGCGGCGGACGGGUGAGUAACACGUGGAUAACCUACCUAUAAGACUGGGAUAACUUCGGGAAACCGGAGCUAAUACCGGAUAAUAUAUUGAACCGCAUGGUUCAAUAGUGAAAGACGGUUUUGCUGUCACUUAUAGAUGGAUCCGCGCCGCAUUAGCUAGUUGGUAAGGUAACGGCUUACCAAGGCGACGAUGCGUAGCCGACCUGAGAGGGUGAUCGGCCACACUGGAACUGAGACACGGUCCAGACUCCUACGGGAGGCAGCAGUAGGGAAUCUUCCGCAAUGGGCGAAAGCCUGACGGAGCAACGCCGCGUGAGUGAUGAAGGCCUUCGGAUCGUAAAACUCUGUUAUUAGGGAAGAACAAAUGUGUAAGUAACUAUGCACGUCUUGACGGUACCUAAUCAGAAAGCCACGGCUAACUACGUG
rnacentral:rRNA from 1 species